GACGAACGCUGGCGGCGUGCUUAACACAUGCAAGUCGAACGGAAAGGCCCUGCUUGCAGGGUGCUCGAGUGGCGAACGGGUGAGUAACACGUGGGUGAUCUGCCCCUUAUUUUGGGAUAAGCCUGGGAAACUGGGUCUAAUACUGGAUAGGACCAUGCUGUAGGUGGUGUGGUGGAAAGAUUAGUUUCGGUAAGGGAUGAGCUCGCGGCCUAUCAGCUUGUUGGUGGGGUAAUGGCCUACCAAGGCGUCGACGGGUAGCCGGCCUGAGAGGGUGGACGGCCACAUUGGGACUGAGAUACGGCCCAGACUCCUACGGGAGGCAGCAGUGGGGAAUAUUGCACAAUGGGCGCAAGCCUGAUGCAGCGACGCCGCGUGGGGGAUGACGGCCUUCGGGCUGUAAACUCCUUUCAGCCAUGACGAAGCCCUUGUGGUGACGGUAGUGGUAGAAGAAGCACCGGCUAACUACGUG
rnacentral:rRNA from 1 species